GUGAGUUCUUUAUUCCAUUAAUGUACUGUAGGUGUCCAGUAGCUGUGUACUCAGGCAGUUCUUUAUUCCAUUAAUGUACUGUAGGUGUCCAGUAGCUGUGUACUCAGGCAGUUCUUUAUUCCAUUAAUGUACUGUAGGUGUCCAGUAGCUGUGUACUCAGGCAGUUCUUUAUUCCAUUAAUGUACUGUAGGUGUCCAGUAGCUGUGUACUCAGGCAGUUCUUUAUUCCAUUAAUGUACUGUAGGUGUCCAGUAGCUGUGUACUCAGGCAGUUCUUUAUUCCAUUAAUGUACUGUAGGUGUCCAGUAGCUGUGUACUCAGGCAGUUCUUUAUUCCAUUAAUGUACUGUAGGUGUCCAGUAGCUGUGUACUCAGGCAGUUCUUUAUUCCAUUAAUGUACUGUAGGUGUCCAGUAGCUGUGUACUCAGGCAGUUCUUUAUUCCAUUAAUGUACUGUAGGUGUACAGUAGCUGUGUACUCAGGCAGUUCUUUAUUCCAUUAAUGUACUGUAGGUGUCCA